AUUUACUCUGUCUCUUGACACAGUUACGCUAUUUCGUGAUUGAGCAACGCUGAACUUAUCCACUACAAGCCGAUCGGAUUAUUUUAACCGGGACAAAAUUUGUAGGAGAGAAUAUUCCUGAAAGCUGCUUCUAUAUGUCGGGAUUGACAAGUAAUCCUCACCCGAAUGCUGGGGCAUAUAUGUGUUCAGGAGGUUACGUAAUACAUAGUAAAUAGUCACGCUAUUGAAACACACAAUAAGCAUCGAUCGGCUGAGAAAUCGUCCAAUAACACAAAGUAAAAUUUGCGCCCGCAAUCCUGGCCACCAUGGGACACCAUUUUUUUGCAUUCAAUGUUCCACAAAUAAAAACAACGUUAAACAAUACAAAAAAAAAUUU